GUGGUGGUUCAGGGUGUCUUUAAUACUGAGUGGUGUACUGUUGUCCAGGACACCACAGAUAGUGAUACUGGUGCACACCGACACGACCCAACCAGUUAUUGGGCUCCUUGUGCGAUGGUUCCAGACUCU
ensembl:scaRNA small Cajal body-specific RNA 14